ACUCGAGUGGCGAACGGGUGAGUAACACGUGGGUGAUCUGCCCUGCACUUCGGGAUAAGCUUGGGAAACUGGGUCUAAUACCGGAUAGGAGCCAUCUUUAGUGUGGUGGUUGGAAAGUUUUUCGGUGUAGGAUGAGCUCGCGGCCUAUCAGCUUGUUGGUGGGGUAAUGGCCUACCGAGGCGGCGACGGGUAGCCGGCCUGAGAGGGUGUACGGCCACAUUGGGACUGAGAUACGGCCCAG
rnacentral:rRNA from 1 species